rnacentral:rRNA from 1 species
CACGUAGGGGACGAGCGUUGUCCGGAUUCAUUGGGCGUAAAGGGCUCGUAGGCGGUUUGUCGCGUCGGGAGUGAAAACCUCGGGCUUAACUCGGGGCUUGCUUUCGAUACGGGCAGACUGGAGGUAUGCAGGGGAGAACGGAAUUCCUGGUGUAGCGGUGAAAUGCGCAGAUAUCAGGAGGAACACCGGUGGCGAAGGCGGUUCUCUGGGACGGUACUGACGCUGAGACGCGAAAGCGUGGGGAGCGAACAGG